UCAUUGGGCGUAAGGGGUCCGCAGGUGGCCAAUCAAGUCGGCUGUUAAAGACCGGGGCUUAACUCCGGGCAGGCAGUGGAAACUGAUUAGCUAGAGUACGGUAGGGGUAGAGGGAAUUCCCAGUGUAGCGGUGAAAUGCGUAGAUAUUGAGAAGAACACCGGUGGCGAAAGCGCUCUACUAGGCCGAAACUGACACUGAGGGACGAAAGCUAGGGUAGCGAAAGGGAUUAGAUACCCCUGUAGUCUUAGCUGUAAACGAUGGAUACUAGGUGUAGCUCGUAUCGACCCCAGCUGUGCCGAAGCCAACGCGAUAAGUAUCCCGCCUGGGGAGUACGCACGCAAGUGUGAAACUCAAAGGAAUUGGCGGGGGCCCGCACAGGCGGUGGAGUAUGUGGUUUAAUUCGAUGCAACGCGAAGAACCUUACCAGGGCCUGACAUGUCGCGAAUCUAGCGGAAACGUUAGAGUGCCUUAGGGAAUGCGAACACAGGUGGUGCAUGGCUGUCGUCAGCUCGUGUCGUGAGAUGUUGGGUUAAGUCCCGCAACGAGCGCAACCCUCGUCCUUAGUUGCCAAUAUUAAGUUAGGCACUCUAGGGAUACUGCCGGGGACAACUCGGAGGAAGGUGGGGAUGACGUCAAGUCAGCAUGCCCCUUACGUCCUGGGCGACACGCGUACUACAAUGGUUGGGACAAAGGGCAGCAAGCUCGCGAGAGUAAGCGAAUCUCAUCAAACCCAGCCACAGUUCAGAUUGCAGGCUGCAACUCGCCUGCAUGAAGUAGGAAUCGCUAGUAAUCGCAGGUCAGCAUACUGCGGUGAAUUCGUUCCCGGGCCUUGUACACACCGCCCGUCACACCAUGGAAGCUGGCUACGCCCGAAGUCGUUACCCUAACCCUAAGGGGAGGGGGAUGCCGAAGGUAGAGCUAGUGACUGGGGUGAAGUCGUAACAAGGUAGCCGUACCUGAAGGUGUGGCUGGAUCACCUCCUUU
rnacentral:rRNA from 1 species